GGGGAUGUAGCUCAACGGUAGAGCAUAUGCUUUGCAUGUAUGAGGCCCCAGGUUCGAUCCCUGGCAUCUCCA
rfam:Felis catus isolate Cinnamon breed Abyssinian chromosome A1, whole genome shotgun sequence.